CCUACGGGAGGCAGCAGUGAGGCAUAUUGGUCAAUGGGCGGAAGCCUGCACCAGCCAAGUAGCGUGCAGGAUGACGGCCCUACGGGUUGUAAACUGCUUUUAUACGGGAAUAACGCGCCUUACGUGUAGGGCUUUGCAUGUACCGUAUGAAUAAGGACCGGCUAAUUCCGUGCCAGCAGCCGCGGUCCUACGGAAGGUACGGGCGUUAUCCGGAUUUAUUGGGUUGAAAGGGAGCGUAGGCCGCAUGUCAAGCGUGCUGUGAAGUGUCCGGGCUCAACCCGGGCCUUGCAGCGCGAACUGGCGUGCUUGAGUCCGCGGAAAGCAGGCGGAAUUCGUCGUGUAGCGGUGAAAGGCUUAGAUAUGACGAAGAACCCCGAUUGCGAAGGCAGCUUGCUGCAGCGGAACUGACGCUGAUGCUCGAAAGCGCGGGUAUCGAACAGGAUUAGAUACCCCAGUAGUC
rnacentral:rRNA from 1 species